rnacentral:rRNA from 1 species
ACGGAGGAUCCGAGCGUUAUCCGGAUUUAUUGGGUUUAAAGGGUGCGUAGGCUGGUUUUUAAGUCAGCUGUGAAAUACCGACGCUUACCGUCGGCACUGCAGUUGAAACUGGGAACCUUGAGAGUGCAAGAGGCAUGCGGAAUUCAUGGUGUAGCGGUGAAAUGCGUAGAUAUUAGGAGGAACACCAGUGGCGAAGGCGGAUUGCUGGACGACAACUGACGGUGAGGCGCGAAAGCGUGGGGAGCAAACAG